AAAGUCGUAACAAGGUUUCCGUAGGUGAACCUGCGGAAGGAUCAUUAAAGGAUUUGCACGCAUAUGUGUGCAAAGCCCCAACCCUGUGAUGUGUAUUGUGUGUGUGAGUGUGGCCUCAUGUGCCACGCCUACUUUUUUAACCAUUCUCUUUUACAUUCUGAAGUAUGAACAAAAACAAUCGAAAACUGCCAGCAAUGGAUCACUUGGUUCUC
rnacentral:misc_RNA from 1 species